GACGAACGCUGGCGGUGUGCUUAACACAUGCAAGUCGAACGGUAAGGCCCUUUCGGGGGUACACGAGUGGCGAACGGGUGAGUAACACGUGAGUAACCUGCCCUCAUCUCUGGGAUAACAGUCGGAAACGGUUGCUAAUACUGGAUAUGAGCUUGCAAGGCAUCUUGUGGGUUGGAAAGAUUUUUUUUGGUUGGGGAUGGACUCGCGGCCUAUCAGCUUGUUGGUGAGGUAGUGGCUCACCAAGGCUUCGACGGGUAGCCGGCCUGAGAGGGCGACCGGCCACAUUGGGACUGAGAUACGGCCCAAACUCCUACGGGAGGCAGCAGUGGGGAAUAUUGCACAAUGGACGGAAGUCUGAUGCAGCAACGCCGCGUGCGGGAUGACGGCCUUCGGGUUGUAAACCGCUUUCAAUUGUGACGAAGCUUUUUUGUGACGGUAGCAGUAGAAGAGGCACCGGCUAACUACGUG
rnacentral:rRNA from 1 species